AAUAAAUACAGUUUUACACUAUUCAUCUCCAACGUUUUGAACAUUCAUCUUAUUUAAAAAAAUUUUAUGAUUAUUAUUUUUAUUAUUAUUAGAUGAUAAAACAUUAAUAGUACUUUAUGUGUGACUAAUUUUUUAAAAAAAAUUUCAUAAAAUUUUUAAAUAAAUCGGAUGGUUAAACGUUGGACACGGAUUUCCACGGCUGCACUUAUU
rfam:Oryza rufipogon genomic scaffold, chr01